GAAAAAGGUAGCAAUACCUUGAGUACACCGGCGCAAGGGUGAGUAACACGUAGGCAACCUGCCCUAAGGACGGGAAUAACUUCGAGAAAUCGAGGCUAAUACUCGAUGAUGCAGCGGCACCACAUGGUGACAGUUGUUAAAGGCCCGCAAGGGCGCCUUUGGAUGGGCCUGCGUCCCAUUAGGUAGUUGGUGAGGUUACGGCCCACCAAAGCGAAGAUGGGUAGCUGGUCUGAGAGGACGAUCAGCCACACUUAUUUCGUGACACGAUGAUGNCUCCUACGUGAAGUCGAAGUGGGUUGAUCUNGAAGUCUCUAGCAAAUUC
rnacentral:sRNA from 1 species